CUGCAGACCUUCCAACAAGACUGAGUCUGCCCUGGCUUUGCUCUUUCCAUAAGUGUCUGCUAGAGAGAUGUGAGGCGGUUUGAGGCCCUGCUUUUGAAUAUACUUAGCAGGGUUAUAGGUAAACCUCCUACAAGA